AGCGGUUAAACAAAAAAGAUUUUUUUUUAUUCUAUUAAUGUAAAAUUAAUCUUUAGGGAAAAAAUUAAUAAUUAAAAAAGGUGAAAUUUUUUAGUUAGUUUAAUAAAACAUUUAAAUAAAAACUCCAUUUUUAAAAACUAGGAUUAGAUACCCUAUUAUUAGGAAUAAUUCAUUGUUAGUAAAUAUUAAAUACGAAAACAAAAAAUUAUGGCGGUAUCUUAAGCUUUUCAGAGGAAUUUGCUCUUUUAUGGAUAAAACACCUAAAUCUUACUAAAAUUAGCAAGUUCAGUUUGUAUACCACUAUAAAAGUAAUAAUUAGUUAUUAUUACUUAAACUUUUAAUUUAAAAAGAAAAUU
rnacentral:rRNA from 1 species